rnacentral:pre_miRNA from 1 species
AUAUGAAUUAUCUGGGGAUUUUUCCCAAAAGCAAAUUCUGAUUCAGUAUACAUACAGUGCAUUGAAGCCUGAGAUUCUGCAAUCCUAACAAGCUCCCAGGUGAUUCCAUU